CGUUCCUGAAUUUUUCCACAGCUUAGGGGCAGGGAUAAAACGCCUGGAAGAGCUGCGGCCCCUUCCCCACAGGAAGCAGCCUCCAGCCAAGAAAAGGAAGCUUGGAGAACAGCUGAUGUCUGUCCCUUGAGGCCUCCAGGCCUCUCUUCCCCAGACACCGGGAGCCAGAGGGUCCUGCUCCCUACCCUCCGGCAGCCAGAAUGCGAAGAUGGGAUCCAAGUCUCUACCAGUGGGGACUGAGACCCUUGUAGGAAAGAUGCCAAGACGCAAGGACAGUUGAGAGAUAAUUCCUGGCCAUGGAAAACAGGAAUGCCCUAUCUAUUAGCAUCUCACGGAACUACACUGCCCCCUGUGGCCAAAACCAGCCAGGAUGCAUAACAACAAGGACAACAAACUUGCCUACAAAGAGCCUUCCUUCCCAGGACCCAGGAAUAGCCCGUGAGCAGCAGAACUGCUUUGUCAGGAUCCAUCUACUCAGCAAAAAUGGGUCCCUCCAGGAUGCAAACCUGCAAGUGGGGCUGUCAGGUUGCUUCAUGGUACCCAAACAAAAUGCCCCAUCCAUGGGGUGAGCUGAUGGAGAGCUGGUGGGCGUGAAGAACCAGGCCCUGAGGCCUGAAGGAUUUGCUCAUCUCCUCUGCUUUCCUGUCCCCUCCCUCCUUUUGGAUGAAGUCCUGAUUCUGCAGAACACCAUGGGCCCUGCCGAGAGGCCUCUGCCUCUACUUGUCCCUCCAGUUUCAGGCCUCUUCGUGGUCCCCUGUCCACCGCCUCCUUCCUGCCUGCAUGCUCAGGCCCCAGACUAACCACUCCCAUUCUUCGAGAGCCUGCCCCUGCCCCCUCCUCCCUGAGAACCCAUCCCCGGCCGUCUCCCUCCGUGAUGCCCUGCGCCCUCCCAGCCUUUAGCCCAGCGGUGGGGCAACUUGCAUUGUCCUCACUUCCCUUGCCGGAGACUGCGUUCUCCAGGAAGGUCUGAGGUCUUGAAAGGGAAGGACUGUGCCUUUUAUUCUCUUUCCGUCUUCCCUCAAGCCCACGGAGUCCAGUCUGCCUCUCCCUUCCUGCUGCCCCGUGAACGCCCCUGCGACCUCAGGGUGAUGGGAACACAGGACAGAGGCCCUGGCUCAGGGCCCCUUCUUGCUCCAGGCUGCCCCAAGAUCCGGGCCACCACUAGAACAUGGCCAGCCUGCUGGGGAGACCGGAAAGCAUUUCUCCAGCAUUUGGUUCUGGGCUUCAUUGAAUCAAACUCUUCCUUCUAAAAAUAAGUCAUAGAGUCUCCUGAGGGAGAGGCCCAAGCAGGCAGGCAGCUCCUGAUGGAGCCGCCCGUGCUGGGGCCUGUCACCUGCUCCCAGGUGGCAGCCCCAGGGGCAGCUCUGCCCCCGCCCCCAGGUCAGCCCACAGCCCAGAGGGUGGGCGUGGGGGGCUCUCACCUGGGGAGUUCAGGCGGCAAACUGCUGCCAUCUUGUCCUGUUCAGGGCGGAGAAAGUGCAAACACACACAUGGUUAAGUUCUCCGAGGCAUUAGAGUCGCCCUUGAGCACUGGAGUUUCAGGCUCAGGGUAGAGCUGUGAUCUGAAAGAAAAAGACCCUAAACCAGGAUUUUGGAGAUGAUGGGUGAGAAUGAAGCCAAGACAGGUUCUCUGUCACCCACAUGUUAAAUAGCAAGCUCCUCGGCCGGGGUCUCGUUAGUGACCCUCAGGACCCCUCCCCCCACGCACACGUGGACUCAUCAUCCUCCCUCUUCCCAACUGCCCCCAGCCUGUCCCAGCCUCUGCCACACGCACACGCUGCUCCCUCUGUUCCGGGGUCCUUCUCCCCAUCUCUGCCUAAUGUCUAACCUAUCUGGCCAGGCUCAGACAGGUUCUCCAGAGACUGUUGGUUAAAACAUGAGCUUUGGUAACAAACUGGAGUGUGAGUCUCUGCUUUGCCACUCACUAGCUGGGUGACCUUAACGUAGUGGUUGGGAGAUCACAGUUCUGCUAGCUGCGUGGCCUUGGGCAAGUUACCUAACCUCUCUGUGCCUCAACAUUGUCAUCUAUAAAAUGAAGCUAAUAAAAGUGCCUAUGUGUUGUGCUUUC
rnacentral:lncRNA from 1 species